rnacentral:rRNA from 1 species
UACGUAGGGGGCUAGCGUUGUCCGGAAUCAUUGGGCGUAAAGCGCGUGUAGGCGGCCCGAUAAGUCCGCUGUGAAAGUCCAGGGCUCAACCCUGGGAUGCCGGUGGAUACUGUCGGGCUCGAGUCCGGAAGAGGCGAGUGGAAUUCCUGGUGUAGCGGUGAAAUGCGCAGAUAUCAGGAGGAACACCAAUGGCGAAGGCAGCUCGCUGGGACGUGACUGACACUGAGACGCGAAAGCGUGGGGAGCAAACAGG